rnacentral:rRNA from 1 species
CCUACGGGUGGCAGCAGUGGGGAAUAUUGCACAAUGGGGGAAACCCUGAUGCAGCAACGCCGCGUGAAGGAAGACGGUUUUCGGAUUGUAAACUUCUGUUCUUAGUGAAGAAUAAUGACGGUAGCUAAGGAGCAAGCCACGGCUAACUACGUGCCAGCAGCCGCGGUACUACGGGGGAUGCAAGCGUUAUCCGGAUUUAUUGGGUUUAAAGGGUGCGUAGGCUGUGAGGUAAGUCAGCGGUGAAAUGCCCCCGCUCAACGGGGUGAAGUGCCAUUGAUACUGCCUUGCUGGAAUGCGGAUGCCGUGGGAGGAAUGUGUGGUGUAGCGGUGAAAUGCAUAGAUAUCACACAGAACACCGAUUGCGAAGGCAUCUCACGAAUCCGCGAUUGACGCUGAUGCACGAAAGCGUGGGUAUCAAACAGGAUUAGAUACCCCAGUAGUC